rnacentral:rRNA from 1 species
AGUUUGAUUCUGGCUCAGGAUGAACGCUAGCGGCAGGCUUAACACAUGCAAGUCGAGGGGCAGCGUGGAGUAGCAAUACUCUGACGGCGACCGGCGAAAGGGUGAGUAACGCGUGAGCAACAUGCCCGAUACUGGAGGAUAGUCGAUGGAAACGUCGCGUAAUACUCCGUAACAUAGGGGACCGCAUGAUUCUCUAUUAAUAGAUUUAUCGGUAUCGGAUUGGCUCGCGUACCAUUAGCUAGUUGGCGGGGUAACGGCCCACCAAGGCGACGAUGGUUAGGGGUUCUGAGAGGAAGGUCCCCCACAUUGGAACUGAGACACGGUCCAGACUCCUACGGGAGGCAGCAGUGAGGAAUAUUGGACAAUGGCCGAGAGGCUGAUCCAGCCAUGCCGCGUGCGGGAGGACGGCCCUAUGGGUUGUAAACCGCUUUUGUUGGGGAGCAAUAAGGGUCACGUGUGACCUGAUGAGAGUACCCAGCGAAUAAGCAUCGGCUAACUCCGUGCCAGCCGCCGC